rnacentral:rRNA from 1 species
CAAUAGCGUAUAUUAAAGUUGUUGCAGUUAAAAAGCUCGUAGUUGGAUUUGUGGUGUGUCUUGCUUUGCCUUGGGUUUUUAUCCCUUGCGCAUGUGCGAGUCUGCCAUGUUUGGGUGGAUCCAGUGUGGCAUUAGGUUGUCGCGCUGGGGAUGCCCAUCGUUUACUGUGAAAAAUUAGAGUGUUCAAAGCAGGCUUAUGCCGUUGAAUAUAUUAGCAUGGAAUAAUGAUAUAGGACCUUGGUACUAUUUUGUUGGUUUGCGCACUGAGGUAAUGAUUAAUAGGGACAGUUGGGGGUAUUCGUAUUCCAUUGUCAGAGGUGAAAUUCUUGGAUUUUUGGAAGACGAACUACUGCGAAAGCAUUUACCAAGGAUGUUUUCAUUAA